GGACGCCGAGGGACUGCGGCGCGGCGUCGUGCUGCCCCCUGCCGGCCACGGGAGGGAGGCGGCGCGGCGGAGGGAGGUGGCGGAGCAGGUCUUGUUACCGGCGUCACCGACAAAUGUCCCCCGUGUGCCAACGACUCUGAGCCAGUUACACGGCGUGUUGUGUGGAGCAGGGUCCAGGAAGUACCCAGCUGCCGGAUCUCACACGGCCUUGUGAAAUGUGCUGGCAGCCUCACUGCACAAAACGAGGAAACCGAGAGACUACUCUCUGGCUUGAGGCCCGAAGGGCAGUCCGAGGCGGUCCGAGGGACUUGAUGAGGAGGGCCACACCGCAGGGAAUUCAGGAGCCCAGAGCCGGUCCUGGCACCUCAGUCCUGCAGCCUCAGGACCUGGAUUCUGCCACGGACUCCCCAGAGCCACCGAGCUCGUGCCCUGCCCACGUGCGGCUUCCACGUGGUGAGACCCUGGGCGGAGAGGCAGCCGCACCUGCCGGACUUCUGUGCGCACAGGUCGGGGCGUCGCGUUCAGCUGCUGGGUGUGUGGCGAUCGACCCCACGGUGAUAUAAAACGAAUACAGUACGAUCUGGACAUGCAGAGAUAGGAAAACAGAAAUCCAAAUGACCCAACAGUAUGAACUUGGGCUUCUGGGCACUGGGAGGCGGUGGAGGAGACAGGGGCUUGGACACAGGCCCAAAAGGCUGAGGAGCAGGGACUCCAUUUCAUGGGCACUGGGGAGCUACUGAAGACUCGUGAGGGAGAAGGCCCACCCAAGGUGGGCCCUGAACGGAGGGUCCCGGGCUUGUCUGAGCGGCCAACCCCUAGGAUCACUCUAGACCUACUUCUCCAGAAUGUUCUGGGGAAGGGCCCUGGGAAUCUGCAUGUUAGGUCAAGACUCAGGUGGCUCCGGGGAUCAGCACAUUUGGGAAGUGCUCCUACCAGACAGUGUUCUGAGAGCACAUCCAGGUCCUCUCUGUGCACAAGGUUUUCCAGAGCUCCUAUCAGGGAAGGGGCCACAGGGAGGAGUCCCCCCCUUCGUGGGAGGGGCAGUGCACCUGCUGAUGGGUGGGGACCAGAGCAGAGCCUGCCUGGGAGAAGACGCUGUAGGAGACAGACGGCUCCGCUGGAGAAGGGCAGACCGAGCUUUUCCCUUCCCCGAGGGGGACCCCAGAGCCCGGCAGGGUUGCACGAGGUGCCGAGAGGCCCAGAGAACGGGACGGAGUGAGCGCCUGCGGCCAGCAUCUGUUCACCACGAAUAAAC